GUGGGGAAUUUUGGACAAUGGGCGCAAGCCUGAUCCAGCAAUGCCGCGUGCAGGAAGAAGGCCUUCGGGUUGUAAACUGCUUUUGUACGGAACGAAACGGUCCGGGUUAAUACCCUGGGCUAAUGACGGUACCGUAAGAAUAAGCACCGGCUAACUACGUGCCAGCAGCCGCGGUAAUACGUAGGGUGCAAGCGUUAAUCGGAAUUACUGGGCGUAAAGCGUGCGCAGGCGGUGCUGUAAGACAGGCGUGAAAUCCCCGGGCUUAACCUGGGAAUUGCGCUUGUGACUGCAGUGCUGGAGUGCGGCAGAGGGGGAUGGAAUUCCGCGUGUAGCAGUGAAAUGCGUAGAUAUGCGGAGGAACACCGAUGGCGAAGGCAAUCCCCUGGGCCUGCACUGACGCUCAUGCACGAAAGCGUGGGGAGCAAACAGGAUUAGAAACCCCAGUAGUCC
rnacentral:rRNA from 1 species